rnacentral:rRNA from 1 species
GAACAGGGCGCCAAGUCGGGGGGGGUAGACGCGAAACCGAGUGAUCUACCCUUGGCCAGGUUGAAGGUUGGGUAACACCAACUGGAGGACCGGAUGGGUAAGCGUUGAAAAGCUUUCCAAUGAGCUGAGGGUAGGGGUGAAAGGCUAAUCAAACUCGGAGAUAGCUCGUACUCCCCGAAAUGCAUUUAGGUGCAGCCUCUUUAUAGUAUAUCGUGAGGUAGAGCGACUGAUUGGAUGCGAGGGCUUCACCGCCUAUCAAGUCCAGAUAAACUCCGAAUGCGCGAUAUAUAUUUACAGGGAGUGAGGGCGCGGGUGCUAAGGUCCGUGUCCGAGAGGAGAAGAAUCCAGACCACCGGCUAAGGCCCCCAAAUGAUCGUUAAGUUGAACUAACGAGGUCGGAUCGCAGAGACAGCUAGGAUGUUGGCUUGGAAGCAGCCAUUCAUUUAAAGAGUGCGUAACAGCUCACUAGUCGAGCGAUCUGGCGUGGAUAAUAAUCGGGCAUAAACGAUCUGCCGAAGCCGUGGAUGUCGCAAGACAUGGUAGGGGAGCAUUCCAUGCCGCGUCGAAGAUGAGGGAUGACCCUUGUUGGAGCGCAUGGAAAAGCAAAUGUAGGUAUGAGUAACGAUAAGGGGGGCGAGAAACCCCCCCGCCGAAAGACCAAGGUUUCCUGAUCAACGCUAAUCGGAUCAGGGUGAGUCGGGACCUAAGGCAAAGCCGAACGGCGCCGCCGAUGGAAGAAUGGGUUAAUAUUCCCAUACUGCCUCAUGGAGUGACGUGGAGACGGAGAAGUGACAGUCCUGCCGGCUGACGGAAUAGCCGGUUGAAGGGUGUAGAUAUUGAUUCCCGUAGGCAAAUCCGCGGGGAGAGUCGAACCUGAGAGUAUACGGAGCGCUUGCGCAACGUAAUAUGGACGUAACCAUGCUCCCGAGAAAAUCCGCUAAACUUAUCCAUGCGGCACCCGUACCGUAAACGGACACACGUGGUCGGGUUGAGAAUACUGAGGCGCUCGAGUGAUUCACGGUUAAGGAACUAGGCAAAUUGACCCUGUAACUUCGGGAUAAAGGGUCCUCGUCGUAAGGCGAGGCGCAGAGAAUAGGUCCAGGCAACUGUUUAACAAAAACACAUGGCUGUGCUAAAUGGAAACAUGAUGUAUACAGCCUGACACCUGCCCGGUGCCGGAAGGUUAAGAGGAGAUGUCAUCCGCGAGGAGAAGCGUUGAAUUGAAGCCCCGGUAAACGGCGGCCGUAACUAUAACGGUCCUAAGGUAGCGAAAUUCCUUGUCGGGUAAGUUC